AGCUGCCCGCCUGCCCCGGAGAGCCAGGCGCUAACCAGCCGCUCUGCGCCCCGCGCCCUGCUUGCCCCCAUUAUCCAGCCUUGCCCCGGCGCCCUGACCUGACGCCCUGCUUCGUCGCCUCCUUUCUCUCCUAGGUGCUGGACCAGGGACUGAGCGUCCCCCGGAGAGGGUCCGGUGUGACCCCGACAAGAAGCAGAAAUGGGGAAGAAACUGGAUCUUUCCAAGCUCACUGAUGAAGAGGCCCAGCAUGUCUUGGAAGUUGUUCAACGAGAUUUUGACCUCCGAAGGAAAGAAGAGGAAAGGCUAGAGGGGUUGAAGGGCAAGAUUAAGAAGGAAAGCUCCAAGAGGGAGCUGCUUUCCGACACUGCCCAUCUGAACGAGACCCACUGCGCCCACUGCCUGCAGCCCUACCGGCUGCUUGUGAAUAGCAAAAGGCAGUGCCUGGAAUGUGGCCUCUUCACCUGCAAAAGCUGUGGCCGCGUCCACCCGGAGGAGCAGGGCUGGAUCUGUGACCCCUGCCAUCUGGCCAGAGUCGUGAAGAUCGGCUCACUGGAGUGGUACUAUGAGCAUGUGAAAGCCCGCUUCAAGAGGUUCGGAAGUGCCAAGGUCAUCCGGUCCCUCCACGGGCGGCUGCAGGGUGGAGCUGGGCCUGAACCGAUAUCUGAAGAGAGAAGUGGAGACAGCGACCAGACAGAUGAGGAUGGAGAACCUGACUCAGAGGCCCAGGCCCAGGCCCAGCCCUUUGGCAGCAAAAAAAAGCGCCUCCUCUCCGUCCACGACUUCGACUUCGAGGGAGACUCAGAUGACUCCACUCAGCCUCAAGGUCACUCCCUGCACCUGUCCUCAGUCCCUGAGGCCAGGGACAGCCCACAGUCCCUCACAGAUGAGUCCUGCUCGGAGAAGGCAGCCCCCCACAAGACUGAGGGCCUGGAGGAGGCUGACACUGGGGCCUCUGGGUGCCAAUCCCAUCCGGAAGAGCAGCCGACCAGCAUCUUGCCUUCUGGACACAGCACCCUGGCUGAGCUCUGCCCGCCUGGAGGCUCCCACAGGAUGGCCCUGGGGACUGCUGCUGCACUCGGGUCGAAUGUCAUCAGGAAUGAGCAGCUGCCCCUGCAGUACUUGGCCGAUGUGGACACCUCUGAUGAGGAAAGCAUCCGGGCUCACGUGAUGGCCUCCCACCAUUCCAAGCGGAGAGGCCGGGCGUCUUCUGAGAGUCAGGGUCUAGGCGCUGGAGUGCGCACGGAGGCCGAUGUGGAGGAGGAGGCCCUGAGGAGGAAGCUGGAGGAGCUGACCAGCAACGUCAGUGACCAGGGGACCUCGUCCGAGGAGGAGGAGGCCAAGGACGAAAAGGCAGAGCCCAACAGGGGCAAAUCAGUUGGGGCUCUCCCCCAGGCGGACCCGGAGGUGGGCACGGCUGCCCAUCAAACCAACAGACAGGAAAAAAGCCCCCAGGACCCUGGGGACCCCGUCCAGUACAACAGGACCACAGAUGAGGAGCUGUCAGAGCUGGAGGACAGAGUGGCAGUGACGGCCUCAGAAGUCCAGCAGGCAGAGAGCGAGGUUUCAGACAUCGAAUCCAGGAUUGCAGCCCUGAGGGCCGCAGGGCUCACGGUGAAGCCCUCGGGAAAGCCCCGGAGGAAGUCAAACCUCCCGGCUCUUUAUGAGGGGACUCUGAGCCUCUGCUCUGAGGAUCUGAAACACACACACACUGACAGUGUAAAAUCCAAAAGGAGCCGCCUGAAUCAUGUUGCCUCAUGUGGAAAUCCUUAGUCCGCCGCCACGUGAAGAUGGAUGUGACUAGAACAGAGGGCUCGGGAGGCUCACAUCAGAGGAGCUGCUCAUGUCAGGCCAACAUCCUCCUCUCCUGAUCCCAUUCAGGAAUCUUCAGACAAAACCACCCUGAUGAGGACAUUUGGCAAAAGAAUGAAAGAUGACCUUAGGAGAGUCCCAGAUAGGGUCAUGACGG
rnacentral:sRNA from 1 species